rnacentral:lncRNA from 1 species
UAAAAAAUGUUUUCUUUCUCUUAGGUGUUAAGGGGCUGUGGAGGCAAGCGAGGACGAAACAAAACCUAACUGUUUUUUAUGCAUUUGUAGACCGCUCACAAAAACCCCAUGGCCUUUUUGAUAAAUGUGCACUUUUGACCCGUACCUGGAAUGCAAACAUAUUUGAAAGUGUAAUAGGUAACCAGAUAUACAUGAGAUUAAAGUGAGAUUUAUUUAUAAAUAAUAUUUACUAUAAGGGUUCUUGGACCUGGAACAUAGAAACUCCUCUGUGAGAAGCAAACACAUGGAUUUACUGAGAGAAAACUCUGAAUCAGAGGAUUUAUUAAACGGAGAAGAAAAACAGCGUCUGGUGAAAGAAUGCCCAGUCGGACAAAAGAAAAGUAGAGAUGGAGGGAGGACACGAAGAGUGAAAGCACGGAGCCCAGUGAGGGGGUGAACAAGCUGAGUGCCAACUGGAUAUGGAGGAUUCUGGCAAAGUCCAACGUCUGAGGUGUUUCUAAGGAAACAACAGCGCAACUAAGUUCACAGUGCAGAGGCUGACGUUACUGGAAGCUCGCUGCUGCUUUGAGAAGAAGAAACUACAAUCAGUGCAAAAACAGAUAAGAAGAAACAAACGAGCAUCAGAGAAGUUUUCCUUGAGACUGACACCAUCAGCUCCUGCUUAGUGGGCGCAUGCUAACCAAUGGAGGAUCACAUGACCUCAUCGGACACGACGGGUACCGGAAGUAGUGUUGUAACCAUGGUAGCAGACUCGAUAGGAACUGAGCUGGAGCAGAGUGCAAGUUCAACCCUCCAAUGUGACGGUUACCUGAGGAACAGGGAGUUAGAGAGGUCAGAGAGGAGUCUGCUGCUACAACUCUAUCAGCUAGCUUCUGCCUCCCAGCUCCCCAGCAUGCAACACUCCCAGAGACUGGACCAGAGACUCCACAUGCUCAGGGAAGAGGUCAGGACGAUGAGUCGGGACAAGGAACGUGGGGAGCGGGUUUGGAGGGACCGACUGCAGCGCUGUCAGAGGCAGCUGAAGGCCAAAGAGGAGGAGAUGAGUCUCCAGUCCCAGUACUUCCAAAACUUUAAAACCCAACUCCAUCACAAGCUCAGCCUGGCCCGGGACAGAGAGCAGAGCCUACAGAACCGGAUCUACACUUUAGAGAAGCAGCUACUGGACAUGACGGUGAGUGCCGCCACCGGCAUGACAACGAUCUGCGCAGCCAGAAUUACCGUUGGGACGGUAACACACUGGGACGAAAAAGAGAGGCUGCCUCCCAUGAGAGGAGAGGGUGAAGGAGAGGAGGCGAUAAAGGAGGAGAGGAGGAGGCAAUGGCAGCCAAGUGUGGGAAAUGAGAGAGAAGGUGAGAAAGAGAUACAAGGGGGAAGAGUCAAAGACACCAAACAGAACUCAAAUGAAGCCAGACUGCAAGGUUUCAUCCUGAGCCUGCAGGAGGAUCUCAGGGUGCUGCUGGAGAGAGAGGAACAUGGGAUGACAGAGAGGAGGAGACUGAUGGAGCAGCUCCAGACGGCCCAGGAGAACAGCCACUUUCUGGGAUGCAAGGUGGAGGAGAUGAAGGCAGAGGUGCACCAGCUGAAGCUGUCUGAAAACUCCUUGAUGGAGGAAGUUGAAGAGCUGAAAGAGGAGAACCGGCAGAGUCUUUCAGAUCCAGCUAACCAAGCAGCCAGUCAGUCAUCCACAGGCCCUCAGUCCACAUGCCCGAGUCCUGGGUCCAACACCCUCUCAUGUACCACUGCCAUGGGAAAUUCCUCUAUAGGGAGUUUUGGAGAGGUACGUCUAAUGUCGGAGGAGGGAACAGGCCAGGCUCAAUCAUCUGCAGUUCCACCUGUUCAGCACCUGGUGGCAGCAGAGAGCAUGCAGAACAACACUGAGGAUCACUCCUCGUCUGCCAAAUCUGAAACUCCACCUAAAAUUUUUCAAAAAACCAACCACAGCCUCCAGUCCCUCUCCUUGGCUAAAGAGACAAUGGAUGAGUUUAAACGGGGGACCUGGUGCUCCAGAAGGAUCGCAAACCUGGAGGAAAGCCCCAGCGAGGAAUCUGAUGCCCUGCUGGAAGCCUACAGGAGCUUGGAGUUAGGGGAGGAUCUCCAAGCAUUUCAAAAACAACGUGACCACCUGGAGGAGGAGCACACACAGGAGCAACUGCAGAUAAUGCCUCAAGAGAAUAAUCGACUGAAAGUACAACUCAGGAAAGAUGCAGAGGAACAAGAAGCAGAGGCCGGGCAGGGGUCUUCAAGACAAAAGGUUAGCGCACUACCCACCAGUGAUGGAGGUGAAGAUAACACCAUUCUCGCUCUCGCCCAGGAUGAUCUUGUACACGCCCUGAAUCGGGAGAACCGGGCCUUAGCGGACCGGAUCCAAGAGCUUCUGGCUCACAUCGAGCUAAGAGAAGAUGAGAUCAAGAGCGAGCAAACGCUGCUAAAGAAGCAUAUGUCCAAGCUAAACAUGGACUUAGUCAGUCUGAAGCAGGAGAACCAGGAACAUGAGUGUUUGAUUACAGAACUCACCAAGAAGACUGAGGAUGAUCUCAACACCAUCAUGGACCUGCAGCAACGGUUAGUGGAGAGCGAACAGCGUAUGGAGGGAUCACAGGUUGGCAAGGACCUGCAAAGUGAAUUUACAGCGGCAAUAUCAAAUCUUCAACAGAACAACCUAGAAGAAUGUGUGGACACUUUGGUAGGAAAGCGUGCUAAAAGGGGAAGAACCACAGUUUGUGUCCAGUCAACAACCAGAUGA